rnacentral:rRNA from 1 species
GUAGCAAUACUUAGUGGCAGACGGGUGAGUAACAUGUAGGUAUCUGCCCUUUGGCCUGGAAUAACACGAGGAAACUUGUGCUAAUACCGGAUAAGUCUUUACGGAGAAAGCUUUAUGCACCAUUGGAUGAGCCUGCACUUGAUUAGUUUGUUGGUGGGGUAAUGGCCUACCAAGACUGUGAUCAAUAGCUGAUUUGAGAGGAUGAUCAGCCACAUUGGGACUGAGACACGGCCCAAACUCCUACGGGAGGCAGCAGUGGGGAAUCUUGCACAAUGGAGGAAACUCUGAUGCAGCGAUGCCGCGUGAGUGAAGAAGGCCCUUGGGUUGUAAAGCUCUUUCGUCGGGGGAGAAAAUGACUGUACCCGAAUAAGAAGGUCCGGCUAACUUCGUGCCAGCAGCCGCGGUAAUACGAAGGAACCUAGCGUAGUUCGGAAUUACUGGGCUUAAAGAGUUCGUAGGUGGUUGAAAAAGUUGGUGGUGAAAUCCCAGAGCUUAACUCUGGAACUGCCAUCAAAACUUUUCAGCUAGAGUAUGAUAGAGGAAAGCAGAAUUUCUAGUGUAGAGGUGAAAUUCGUAGAUAUUAGAAAGAAUACCAAUUGCGAAGGCAGCUUUCUGGAUCGUUACUGACACUGAGGAACGAAAGCAUGGGUAGCGAAGAGGAUUAGAUACCCUCGUAGUCCAUGCCGUAAACGAUGUGUGUUAGACGUUGGAAAUUUAUUUUCAGUGUCGCAGCGAAAGCGAUAAACACACCGCCUGGGGAGUACGACCGCAAGGUUAAAACUCAAAUGAAUUGACGGGGACCCGCACAAGUAGUGGAGCAUGUGGUUUAAUUCGAAGAUACGCGCAGAACCUUACCAACACUUGACAUGUUCGUCGCGACUCUAAGAGAUUAGAGUUUUCGGUUCGGCCGGACGAAACACAGGUGCUGCAUGGCUGUCGUCAGCUCGUGU